GCUUGUCUCAAAGAUUAAGCCAUGCAUGUCUAAGUAUAAACGACUUUAUACAGUGAAACUGCGAAUGGCUCAUUAAAUCAGUUAUAGUUUAUUUGAUAAUCGAAUUUACAUGGAUAACCGUGGUAAUUCUAGAGCUAAUACAUGCUGGUUAGCCUGACUUUUAGGAAGGGCUGUAUUUAUUAGAUAACAAACCAAUAUUCCUCGUGUCUAUUGUGAUGACUCAUAAUAACUGAUCGAAUCGCAUGGGCCUUGCCCGCGAUACAUCAUUCAAGUUUCUGCCCCAUCAGCUUUCGAUGGUAGUGUAUUGGACUACCAUGGCUUUAACGGGUAACGGAGGAUUAGGGUUCGAUUCCGGAGAGGGAGCCUGAGAAACGGCUACCACAUCUAAGGAAGGCAGCAGG
rnacentral:rRNA from 1 species